AGUGAACGCUGGCGGCAGGCCUAAUACAUGCAAGUCGAACGGCAGCACAGCAGAGCUUGCUCUGUGGGUGGCGAGUGGCGGACGGGUGAGGAAUACAUGGGAAUCUGCCCAGUCGUGGGGGAUAACGUAGGGAAACUUACGCUAAUACCGCAUGCGCCCUUCGGGGGAAAGCCGGGGACCUUCGGGCCUGGCGCGAUUGGAUGAGCCCAUGUCGGAUUAGCUAGUUGGCGGGGUAAUGGCCCACCAAGGCGACGAUCCGUAGCUGGUCUGAGAGGAUGAUCAGCCACACUGGAACUGGGACACGGUCCAGACUCCUACGGGAGGCAGCAGUAGGGAAUAUUGGACAAUGGGCGCAAGCCUGAUCCAGCCAUGCCGCGUGAGUGAAGAAGGCCCUCGGGUUGUAAAGCUCUUUUGUCCGGAAAGAAAAGCGCCGGGUUAAUACCCUGGUGUCCUGACGGUACCGGAAGAAUAAGCACCGGCUAACUUCGUGCCAGCAGCCGU
rnacentral:rRNA from 1 species